rnacentral:rRNA from 1 species
GUGACUGCGUACCUUUUGUAUAAUGGGUCAGCGACUUAUAUUUUGUAGCGAGGUUAACCGAAUAGGGGAGCCGAAGGGAAACCGAGUCUUAACUGGGCGAAUAGUUGCAAGGUAUAGACCCGAAACCCGGUGAUCUAGCCAUGGGCAGGUUGAAGGUUGGGUAACACUAACUGGAGGACCGAACCGACUAAUGUUGAAAAAUUAGCGGAUGACUUGUGGCUGGGGGUGAAAGGCCAAUCAAACCGGGAGAUAGCUGGUUCUCCCCGAAAUCUAUUUAGGUAGAGCCUUGAGGUGACACCUUUGGGGGUAGAGCACUGUUUCGGCUAGGGGGCCAUCCCGGCUUACCAACCCGAUGCAAACUACGAAUACCAAAGAGUGAUACUCAGGAGACACACGGCGGGUGCUAACGUCCGUCGUGGAGAGGGAAACAACCCAGACCGCCAGCUAAGGUCCCCAAGUCUAUAUUAAGUGGGAAACGAAGUGGGAAGGCUUAGACAGCUAGGAUGUUGGCUUAGAAGCAGCCAUCAUUUAAAGAAAGCGUAAUAGCUCACUAGUCGAGUCGGCCUGCGCGGAAGAUGUAACGGGGCUGAAAUAUAGCACCGAAGCUGCGGCAUCAG